rnacentral:rRNA from 1 species
AUUGAACGCUGGCGGCAUGCCUUACACAUGCAAGUCGAACGGUAACGGGCCUUCGGGUGCCGACGAGUGGCGAACGGGUGAGUAAUGCAUCGGAACGUACCUUUCAGUGGGGGAUAACGUAGCGAAAGUUACGCUAAUACCGCAUAUUCUGUGAGCAGGAAAGCAGGGGAUCGCAAGACCUUGCGCUGAUUGAGCGGCCGAUGUCAGAUUAGCUAGUUGGUGAGGUAAAAGGCUCACCAAGGCGACGAUCUGUAGCGGGUCUGAGAGGAUGAUCCGCCACACUGGAACUGAGACACGGUCCAGACUCCUACGGGAGGCAGCAGUGGGGAAUUUUGGACAAUGGGGGCAACCCUGAUCCAGCCAUGCCGCGUGAGUGAAGAAGGCCUCGGGUUGGUUAAAG